rnacentral:pre_miRNA from 1 species
ACAACAUUGGAACCGUCGGUCUACUGAGCAAUAUCACCGGCUCUGUGCAAGAUCUUUUGUCGU